rnacentral:rRNA from 1 species
AGAGUUUGAUCCUGGCUCAGGAUGAACGCUGGCGGCAUGCCUAAUACAUGCAAGUCGAACGAGAGGAAGGAAAGCUUGCUUUUCUGAAUCUAGUGGCGAACGGGUGAGUAACACGUAGGUAACCUGCCCAUGUGCCCGGGAUAACUUCUGGAAACGGAUGCUAAAACCGGAUAGGUAGCAGACAAGCAUUUGACUGCUAUUAAAGUGGCCUUGGCCAUGAACAUGGAUGGACCUGCGGUGCAUUAGCUGGUUGGUGAGGUAACGGCCCACCAAGGCGACGAUGCAUAGCCGGCCUGAGAGGGCGGACGGCCACAUUGGGACUGAGACACGGCCCAAACUCCUACGGGAGGCAGCAGUAGGGAAUUUUCGUCAAUGGGGGGAACCCUGAACGAGCAAUGCCGCGUGAGUGAGGAAGGUCUUCGGAUCGUAAAGCUCUGUUGUAAGAGAAAAACGGCACUCAUAGGGAAUGAUGAGUGAGUGAUGGUAUCUUACCAGAAAGUCACGGCUAACUACGUGCCAGCAGCCGCGGUAAUACGUAGGUGGCGAGCGUUAUCCGGAAUGAUUGGGCGUAAAGGGUGCGUAGGUGGCAGAUCAAGUCUGGAGUAAAAGGUAUGGGCUCAACCCGUACUGGCUCUGGAAACUGAUCAGCUAGAGAACAGAAGAGGACGGCGGAACUCCAUGUGUAGCGGUAAAAUGCGUAGAUAUAUGGAAGAACACCGGUGGCGAAGGCGGCCGUCUGGUCUGGAUUCUGACACUGAAGCACGAAAGCGUGGGGAGCAAAUAGGAUUAGAUACCCUAGUAGUCCACGCCGUAAACGAUGAGAACUAGGUGUUGGGGGAAUAACUCAGUGCCGCAGUUAACGCAGUAAGUUCUCCGCCUGGGGAGUAUGCACGCAAGUGUGAAACUCAAAGGAAUUGACGGGGGCCCGCACAAGCGGUGG